rnacentral:rRNA from 1 species
GACGAACGCUGGCGGCGUGCUUAACACAUGCAAGUCGAACGGAAAGGCCCUGCUUGCAGGGUACUCGAGUGGCGAACGGGUGAGUAACACGUGGGUGAUCUGCCUUGCACUUCGGGAUAAGCCUGGGAAACUGGGUCUAAUACCGGAUAGGAGCCAUUUUUAGUGUGAUGGUUGGAAAGUUUUUUCGGUGUAGGAUGAGCUCGCGGCCUAUCAGCUUGUUGGUGGGGUAAUGGCCUACCAAGGCGGCGACGGGUAGCCGGCCUGAGAGGGUGGACGGCCACAUUGGGACUGAGAUACGGCCCAGACUCCUACGGGAGGCAGCAGUGGGGAAUAUUGCACAAUGGGCGCAAGCCUGAUGCAGCGACGCCGCGUGGGGGAGGACGGCCUUCGGGUUGUAAACUCCUUUCGCUAGGGACGAAGCUUUUUGUGACGGUACCUAGAGAAGAAGCACCGGCUAACUACGUG